CACUGCACCCAGCCAAUUUAGAGAGCUUUAAAUGCUGAAAGCAUUCUGAGAAGAGGUGGGUUCCAGGUUGGCACCUGGAGGUUGUUCAAACCAAAUGGGCACGUGUGGGCUCAGCCUCCCCAGUUGUUACUCUGGCAUCAUGGCCUCCUGGUUCCCAGUUCUGGCAGCCCUGCUCAGCCCCCUUCCCCUCAUCUGUAAAAUCAGGUAGCUGUCCGACUUCAUAGGAUUGGCGGAAGGGUCAAAUAUAAUAUAUGGAAUUCUUUCUGGAAUGAAAUAAAAAGACAGCGAGGCAUCUAAGUGGGAGCACCAGAAGCCUGCAGGUCUGAGGACUCAAGGAGGCGGAGAAGAUUCUCUCCCUGCCUUGGGCCUUGGGAUCCCUGCUGUACCUUCAGGGUUUUCCUCCAUCUGUGCCUUUUUUCCUGGUCAAAACAGACUGUUAUUCAAGCACAGAGCUUUUUGUUCCUCUUUAUGUCUCUAAAGGCAACUGCAACUAUGUAGCCUAUGAAGCCCCUGAAAAAUCUAAGCCCACACCCAGGCACUGAUUUAAAUGAAAAAGCAGUAUCCAAAAGCCCAAGGAAAAUGGUCCAUUGCGAAGCUGGACAAUUUCCUCUCCUGACACAUCUUCACAGCUUCGUAGACUGUGAGAGAAUGCUGUGUUCUUAAAGUGCUUACCUGCCUCAAACUAAAGCAAUACCUCCAGGAGCUAUGUGAUACAUGUAAUAAACAUCUUCUUGUGCACCUUUAAAAGGCUCCCAGGUGACUCUAAGGUUCAGGUGAGAUUAAGCAGCACCGUCUCAAGGCUGUGUUUGCCCUUGAAACCCAGGUAGGAGGUGGACAGGUCUGGAGCACACUCCCUCAGCACUGGUUUCUGGUCCCUUUGUAGAUGAGAUAAAGCGACUUCUUCAAGAUCUGAGUGAUACAGUGACAAAUCCAUUGUGGAGCUUGCUGGAUCAAACCAGUGUGACAUCAAAGCCCUACACAGGUCCACUGGGUUUAGCUCCAAGUGGUCUUAGCGCGCCCUUAGAACACCCUUAGAAAGUGGAUCCAGAUCUGGGAAAGAAGACCAAGGACUCAUACUUAGGUGUCUUUCUAUGUUGUUAAUGGAAGAGUAAACUAAGGAUGUCCCUCUAAGCCCUUUCAGGACUUAGCCAAGAGGAGUCUCCAAAGCCCCGUGAGACAGCAUCCCCACAACCCUUUCUAAGGCCUGAAGGUGAUGGUUCUGAAGUCCUCUGGUUCCUUCCUGGAACAAGGGUCAAAUAGGAAAACCACAGAAAAAUGAGACUUCCAAGAAAAGUGCAGGCAUCCUAAGUUUUCAAAUAAAAUCUUACUUGAAGCCUAAGAAAAUGGAUUCAGGCAGCUUAAUUCUUGUUUGUUCCAUGCACAACCUAUCUUUCACCAAAUAGAUUCUGAGGCAACUUGAUGGGGCUGCUGGUAAUAGGCACUGUCUGAGGUGGGAAGUGCAGCAGGCCCGGGCCUGGGUGACUGUAAAGCAGGCCCUCAGGACACAGUGGUCUGGCUGCCUGGCAGCAAGAUCUCUAGAGAAAACCUGGGAAGUGCAAGAGACAGCUUUGUAAAGGGGUCCUCGGGCUUAGGAACCCCGACUGUGGCAUUUCAAUUGGAAUGUGAGGAAGCAGCACCCAGCAGGGGUGAAGAACAUGCACAUCAGAAUGGCCGAAUGCCAUUCUUUGUCUCAUUGUGUAACCCUGGGCAAGUUCAUUCAUCUCUGAGAUGGGGCUCUCAUCUGUAGGAGGGGGUACUACUUCCCUCAUAGAGUUUAAGGAUUAAGUGUCAUUGUAUAUGAAACAUUUAGGAGCAUGCUUAACUCAAGUACUCAACCUAGAACUUGCUUAAGCCUUGGACUGGCUAAUGAGGGUUUGGCUUUCAAUGUCAGAAGGCAUUUGUGAUGGUCACAACUGUGUGUGUGUGUGUGUGUGUGUGUGUGUGUGUGUACUACUGACAUCUAGUGGGUGGAGGCCAGGGAUGCUGGUAAACACCCCAUAGUGCACAGGACAGCCUCCUACCCCCCAACAAAUUAUUCACCCCAAAAUGUCAAUAGUACUAAGGUUGAGUACCCCUGAGCUAAAGGGAGAAGUUGAGGUUAGCCCACCCAUACAAGGGGAGGUGGGUAGGAAACAGGCUUACAAGUGUCGGAUCUGGCAGCAACUUUAAACUCCUGCAGCCGUCCCCGGAAGCAGAACCAACCCUCUUCUCAAUUGGUACACUUUUAGCAGCUAUAAGUCAAGGGUAUGUUAGAGACACUGGGAUCAGAAUGAAGACUCAUAGGUCAGUGGACUGAUUUAAAUAGCCUUUUGGAAAGAUGUGAAAAAGCAAUAGAAAAUGGGCCAGAACAGAAAAGAAGCUAGGGGUUGAAAUGUGGUCCAGGUCACUUGAAGUCAGGAGUUUGAGACCAGCCUGGCCAACAUAGUGAAACCCCGUCUCUCUCUAAUAAAAAUACAAAAAUUAGCCAGGGGUGGUGGCGGCCGCCUGUAAUCCCAGCUAAUCGGGAGGCUGAGGCAGGGGAAUCACUUGAAUCCAGGAAGCAGAGGUUGCCAUGAGCCGAGAUCACACCACUGCACUCUAGCCUGGGUGACAGAGCAAGUGAGACUUUGUCUCAAAAAAAAGCAAAAGCAAAAACAAAAAAACAAAUGUGGUCCAGGAAGAAAAAAAAAAAGCAUCACAUAGUAAUAAAAUAUGAGGUCCAUCCCCCAUUCUUGAUUUUUCUCUCUAGGACAAGGCAAACUACAUACUCAGAACUACAAACACUUAAGUCAAUGGAUUUGCAUUAUUCUAGAAAAAGACCAAUCCUUCAAAAAGUCAACAAAGUUAUCUGGCUGGGCCACUAUCUGCUCAUGCUAUGGCAUCAAAGAUGAAACUAAAAGUAAAAAUUCUGACUCCACCAAAGCUUUGACUGAUUUUGACAUUUCAUUUGCUUGGCAAGGCAAGUGCUCACUGGAUCAACAAAUCGAUUCUGAAACAAUUAUUUGUGCCUUAACUAGCUCAAGCUCUUCAUGAUCAUGACAGUCUGAGGAUAUGAAUUAAUCCUAUCAUUAAAAAGGGCCACUGAAAUAUUUUGAUUGGCAUGCCCAGUUAAAUAAAAAAUGCUCACAUUUGCAAGCAACUGAGGCAUUUUCCAUGGAAUCUUCUGAAAAUGCCUUUAGACUUGGGAAUUUUUACCUUAAGCCUGUUACUUAUUUUUUACUCUUUAUUAAUUUUUACUCUUAAGCCUCAGCUUUAUUCUCUGAAAAAUGGAGAUAAUACUUCCACCUCUAGGGCUAUGGUAAAGAUUAUGUGAAACUAUGCACCUGAGUUCACUUUGUACUAACUGGGCCACACAACUAAAGGUAGUGCUUCAAACCCCAAAGGCUUUUCACUUUUACUUUACACUGCUCUUCCAGAGCACUUCAACAGUAUUUUCAGGGUCAUGCUGGAUUUUUAAAAGAAUCAGAACAAGAGGAUGCUACCUAUGAAAGUAAAUUAUGUACUUCACAGCAAGCAUUUCUAUGCCUUAGUUUCAUACUUAGGUUUCAGGCAGUUCUCAGAGGCAAUUAUUUCCAUUUUACAGAUAAGGAAAAUGAGAUGCAAAAUAUUAAUCUGCAAAAUAUGGGAUUAAGUACCCUCUGACAAAGCCAGAAAAUAAGGGAACUUGAAAUGGAAGCCCAAGUUGGAGACUACAGUGAAAUUCUACAACUCCCAUGCCUUGACACCUUUGUAGGGCUAGCCCAGGAGCAGUUUCUAGGUGUAAUGACCAGGAUUUGGAAAGCAUAGGAAAUGACUGAAAAAUCAGAUGUACUCUAAAAGGUGACACACUAAAUUCCCUUCAUUGGUCUACUUGGAUUUUAAGACCCCAGGGGGAGAGAGGUGUGGAGUCCUGAUUCUAUCUUUUCUCGGGAAGGGGUGGCACCUAAGGGUGUCUAAGUAGUGGUGACGGUGGAAGGGAUGGCAGAAGGAUGCUAUUCCUGGGGAAAGUUAAAAAGAUAAGGGCACCAUCUAAAGUAAUAGGAACAUCAAAAAAGCUUGCCUACUAGCAAAGAAAAGGGACCAUUUCUGAAAUCCUUGACCACAAAUACAAUCUUCAACAUAAGGAUGCAUUUUUGAAAAAGCACUUGGAAUCACCUGCUUAGGAAAACAUAAAAGACGACUGACUCAAGAGUUCUCACAAGUUUCUAGUCAUGAGAAUAAGAUCUUUUCAUUGGAUUAUGUGUGGUUCAAGAAAAGCCACUGGGAACAGUCCAAGAGAAGCAGAUUUUGGAGUUUGCUUUCUCAAAUUCAAAUGAGAUGGCAGCUCUCAGAAUAUGAAUUCUGAGAACCUUCACCCAUCCACUGAUGACACAAACUUAGAAAGAUCUGCCUAGCCUCUAGAUAACUAGAGCUUCCAGGAUUUUUUAAAAAACAUCCUAAGUAGGCUGGGCACAGUGGCUCAUGUUUGUAAUCCUAGCACUCUGGGAGGCCGAAGCUGGAGGAUCGCUUGAGGCCAGCCUGGGCAACACAGUCUAUCUGUCCAGUAUUUCUCUGUUGUUUUAAAUGGUCUUUCAGAAAAUUUUACUUCAACAAUACUAAUAAUUUUUCAAUAGGUAUUGCUAUUUAUUAACUCUAUGAUCACAUUCUCCUGUCACCUAAUAAACCUGGCUAAUUUACACAUGUUGGGCA
rnacentral:lncRNA from 1 species